rnacentral:rRNA from 1 species
GGCGUAGAGGGCUCCGCAGGCGGUUUUUUAAGUUUGAAUGUUGAAAGCCCCCGGCUUAACCGGGGAGGGUCAUUGGAAACUUGGGGAACUUGAGUUGCAGAAGAGGAGAGUGGAAUUCCACGUUGUAGCGGUGAAAUUGCGUAGAGAUGUGGAGGAACACCAGUGGCGAAGGCGACUCUCUGGUCUGUAACUGACGCUGAGGAGCGAAAGCGUGGGGAGCGAACAGGAUUAGAUACCCUGGUAGUCCACGCCGUAAACGAUGAGUGCUAAGUGUUAGGGGGUUUCCGCCCCUUAGUGCUGCAGCUAACGCAUUAAGCACUCCGCCUGGGGAGUACGGUCGCAAGACUGAAACUCAAAGGAAUUGACGGGGGCCCGCACAAGCGGUGGAGCAUGUGGUUUAAUUCGAAGCAACGCGAAGAACCUUACCAGGUCUUGACAUCCUCUGACAAUCCUAGAGAUAGGACGUCCCCUUCGGGGGCAGAGUGACAGGUGGUGCAUGGUUGUCGUCAGCUCGUGUCGUGAGAUGUUGGGUUAAGUCCCGCAACGAGCGCAACCCUUGAUCUUAGUUGCCAGCAUUCAGUUGGGCACUCUAAGGUGACUGCCGGUGACAAACCGGAGGAAGGUGGGGAUGACGUCAAAUCAUCAUGCCCCUUAUGACCUGGGCUACACACGUGCUACAAUGGACAGAACAAAGGGCAGCGAAACCGCGAGGUUUAGCCAAUCCCACAAAUCUGUUCUCAGUUCGGAUCGCAGUCUGCAACUCGACUGCGUGAAGCUGGAAUCGCUAGUAA